UAGAGUUUGAUCCUGGCUCAGAUUGAACGCUGGCGGCAGGCCUAACACAUGCAAGUCGAGCGGUAGCACAGAGAGCUUGCUCUCGGGUGACGAGCGGCGGACGGGUGAGUAAUGUCUGGGAAACUGCCUGAUGGAGGGGGAUAACUACUGGAAACGGUAGCUAAUACCGCAUAAUGUCGCAAGACCAAAGUGGGGGACCUUCGGGCCUCAUGCCAUCAGAUGUGCCCAGAUGGGAUUAGCUGGUAGGUGGGGUAACGGCUCACCUAGGCGACGAUCCCUAGCUGGUCUGAGAGGAUGACCAGCCACACUGGAACUGAGACACGGUCCAGACUCCUACGGGAGGCAGCAGUGGGGAAUAUUGCACAAUGGGCGCAAGCCUGAUGCAGCCAUGCCGCGUGUGUGAAGAAGGCCUUCGGGUUGUAAAGCACUUUCAGCGGGGAGGAAGGCGGUGAGGUUAAUAACCUCAUCGAUUGACGUUACCCGCAGAAGAAGCACCGGCUAACUCCGUGCCAGCAGCCGCGGUAAUACGGAGGGUGCAAGCGUUAAUCGGAAUUACUGGGCGUAAAGCGCACGCAGGCGGUCUGUCAAGUCGGAUGUGAAAUCCCCGGGCUCAACCUGGGAACUGCAUUCGAAACUGGCAGGCUAGAGUCUUGUAGAGGGGGGUAGAAUUCCAGGUGUAGCGGUGAAAUGCGUAGAGAUCUGGAGGAAUACCGGUGGCGAAGGCGGCCCCCUGGACAAAGACUGACGCUCAGGUGCGAAAGCGUGGGGAGCAAACAGGAUUAGAUACCCUGGUAGUCCACGCUGUAAACGAUGUCGAUUUGGAGGUUGUGCCCUUGAGGCGUGGCUUCCGGAGCUAACGCGUUAAAUCGACCGCCUGGGGAGUACGGCCGCAAGGUUAAAACUCAAAUGAAUUGACGGGGGCCCGCACAAGCGGUGGAGCAUGUGGUUUAAUUCGAUGCAACGCGAAGAACCCUACCUGGUCUUGACAUCCACAGAACUUUCCAGAGAUGGAUUGGUGCCUUCGGGAACUGUGAGACAGGUGCUGCAUGGCUGUCGUCAGCUCGUGUUGUGAAAUGUUGGGUUAAGUCCCGCAACGAGCGCAACCCUUAUCCUUUGUUGCCAGCGGUUAGGCCGGGAACUCAAAGGAGACUGCCAGUGAUAAACUGGAGGAAGGUGGGGAUGACGUCAAGUCAUCAUGGCCCUUACGACCAGGGCUACACACGUGCUACAAUGGCAUAUACAAAGAGAAGCGACCUCGCGAGAGCAAGCGGACCUCAUAAAGUAUGUCGUAGUCCGGAUUGGAGUCUGCAACUCGACUCCAUGAAGUCGGAAUCGCUAGUAAUCGUAGAUCAGAAUGCUACGGUGAAUACGUUCCCGGGCCUUGUACACACCGCCCGUCACACCAUGGGAGUGGGUUGCAAAAGAAGUAGGUAGCUUAACCUUCGGGAGGGCGCUUACCACUUUGUGAUUCAUGACUGGGGUGAAGUCGUAACAAGGUAGCCGUA
rnacentral:rRNA from 1 species